rnacentral:rRNA from 1 species
ACCACCUAACGAGGAACGAUCGGAGGGCAAGUCUGGUGCCAGCAGCCGCGGUAAUUCCAGCUCCAAUAGCGUACGUUAAAGUUGCUGCAGUUUUAAAAGCUCGUAGUUGAACGUUCGGGUUCCGCGGGACGGGGCCGCCCCGCGAGGGACGGCGCCGCCCCGGGGCUCGUGAUAUCUUAUCUCGCCGCCCGUCGCGAGGCGGACGGAGGGAUGGAUGAGGUUACCUGGGAAAAAAUCGGGGCGAUCUAGGCGGGCGAACCUCGCCAACGAACGAUCGGACAUGGGAUAACGGAAGAGGGCGUCGGCUCGACUUCGUCGGUUCCUCGGGCCGAGGCACGUACGGUGAAUAGGGACGGUCGGGGCCGCCCGUACCGGGUCGUGAGAGGUGAAAUUCUAGGAUCGACCCGAGACGAACUGCCGCGAAAGCAUUCGGCAAGGACGCUUUUCAUUAA